AGUGCGGUAGUUUAGCGGUAAAACUGUAUCUCCCCCACAAGAUAUAUAAGACGGCGGUUCGAGUCCGCCCCGCACUU
rnacentral:tRNA from 1 species